rnacentral:lncRNA from 1 species
GUUAUCUGCUGUAUUCAUCACUGAGAAGAUGCUACCUACAAGCUUGAAUUAUACAUAAUGGUCCAUCUCUGUGAACCCUGCCGCCCAGUUCCACCUCCUGACUGAGGUGAUGGAACCGGGAUGCUCAUGCUGAGGCUGCUGCUGCUAAUGAAGAAAGUAAAAGAAGACACAACCUUGCUUCCCAUCACAGCCCUCAGGCACCUUCUCCUGUAGGCCAGGGGACAAGACUGUGCUCCUGAGGGUUGCCCCUGAAUAAAUACAGCAACAACAUUGAAGGCAGUCUCUCAAACUUCUUCGGGUAGUGAACGACUUAAACUUGCAGAACGACUGUACGAGACAGGCAUUAUGCCAGCUCCCUCCAGCCCCUGCUGUUGCUCUGGCACCCUUCUUGAUCAUCUUGAACCUCCACAACCCAGCAAGCCCCAUGUCUUCCCCAAGAUGGGUAAGGCCUGGCAACCCUCAUGUACAU